CCUGCCCCUAGAGGCACUUCCGGUGUAGCCACUAUGACAUGUGUGCAUGAGUAUAUGGCUGAGGAGAGAGGCCAUGUCUAAGUUCAGUGUUCUGACUUAUGAACAUCUGAAUUAUUAGUAACCUAAUAUU